UACGUAGGGGGCGAGCGUUAUCCGGAUUUACUGGGCGUAAAGCGCGUGUAGGUGGUUGCGCAAGUUGGUUGUGAAAUCUCCCGGCUCAACCGGGAAACUGCAGCCAAUACUGCGUGGCUAGAGUGGCAGAGAGGAAAGUGGAAUUCCCGGUGUAGUAGUGAAAUGCGUAGAUAUCGGGAGGAACACCAGCGGCGAAGGCGACUGUCUGGCUGCCAACUGACACUGAGACGCGAAAGCUAGGGGAGCGAACGGG
rnacentral:rRNA from 1 species